rnacentral:rRNA from 1 species
UGGGGAUUUUUGCGCAAUGGGGGAAAGCCUGACGCAGCGACGCCGCGUGAGGGAAGAAGGCCUUCGGGUUGUAAACCUCUUUCAGGAGGGACGAAGCCACUCGGGUUAAUAGCCCAGAGGGUGACGGUACCUCCAGAAGAAGCCCCGGCUAACUACGUG